CUAGGGAUUCAAACCAUAUGGUUAUGGAUAGAUCCAAAAUUUCUCAGGUAACAUGCCACUUUGAGAACUACAUUGGUUGCCACCUAGGCUUUAGAGUGCUGUCACCUCUAAAGCUCUGUGGCUUAGGACAUAGUUAUAACUCCAGCCA